CCUACGGGAGGCAGCAGUGGGGAAUAUUGCACAAUGGGGGAAACCCUGAUGCAGCGACGCCGCGUGAGUGAAGAAGUAAUUCGUUACGUAAAGCUCUAUCAGCAGGGAAGAAACACUGACCUUACGGUCAGCAGACGGUACCUGAGUAAUAAGCCCCGGCUAACUACGUGCCAGCAGCCGCCGUAAUACGUAGGGGGCAAGCGUUAUGCGGAUUUACUGGGUGUAAAGGGUACGUAGACGGUGCGCCAAGUCUGGAGUGAAAGGCCACAGCUUAACUGGGGAACUGCUUUGGAAAUUGGCGAACUAGAGUGCGUGAGGGAUAAGCGGAAUUCCACGUGUAGCGGUGAAAUGCGUAGAUAUUAGGAGGAACACCGGAGGCGAAGGCGGCUUACUGGACCGUAACUGACGUUGAGGCUCGAAAGCGUGGGGAGCAAACAGGAUUAGAUACCCGUGUAGUC
rnacentral:rRNA from 1 species